AUUGAACGCUGGCGACAUGCUUUACACAUGCAAGUCGAACGGUAACAGACCUUCGGGCGCUGACGAGUGGCGAACGGGUGAGUAAUGCAUCGGAACGUGCCCAGUCGUGGGGGAUAACGCAGCGAAGGCUGUGCUAAUACCGCAUACGAUCUGCGGAUGAAAGCGGGGGACCUUCGGGCCUCGCGCGAUUGGAGCGGCCGAUGUCAGAUUAGGUAGUUGGUGGGGUAAAGGCUCACCAAGCCAACGAUCUGUAGCUGGUCUGAGAGGACGACCAGCCACACUGGGACUGAGACACGGCCCAGACUCCUACGGGAGGCAGCAGUGGGGAAUUUUGGACAAUGGGCGCAAGCCUGAUCCAGCAAUGCCGCGUGCAGGAAGAAGGCCUUCGGGUUGUAAACUGCUUUUGUACGGAGCGAAAAGGCUCCCUCUAAUACAGGGGGCUCAUGACGGUACCGUAAGAAUAAGCACCGGCUAACUACGUGCCAGCCGCCGCAGUAAGAC
rnacentral:rRNA from 1 species